rnacentral:rRNA from 1 species
GAUGAACGCUGGCGGUGUGCCUAAUACAUGCAAGUCGAACGAGCUCUUCGGAGCGAGUGGCGGACGGGUGAGUAACACGUUGGUACCUACCCCGAAGUGGGGAAUAACUGCCCGAAAGGGUGGCUAAUACCGCAUAAUACCGCAAGGUUAAAGCAGUAAUGCGCUUCGGGAGGGGCCUGCGUCCCAUUAGCUUGUUGGUAGUGUAAUGGACUACCAAGGCAACGAUGGGUAGCUGGANCGAGAGGUUGACCAGCCACACUGGGACUGAGAUACGGCCCAGACUCCUACGGGAGGCAGCAGUAAGGAAUCUUCCACAAUGGACGAAAGUCUGAUGGAGCAACACCGCGUGCAGGAUGACGG